rnacentral:rRNA from 1 species
AUUGAACGCUGGCGGCAGGCCUAACACAUGCAAGUCGAACGAGUGGCGGACGGGUGAGUAAUGUCUGGGAAACGGCCUGAGGGACGAGGAUAAAUACCGGAAACUGUAGCUGAUACCGCAUACCAUCGGAUGUGCCCAGAUGGGAUUAGCUAGUGGGGGGGGUAAAGGCUCACCUAGGCGACGAUCCCUAGCUGGUCUGAGAGGAUGACCAGACACACUUGAACUGAGACACGUUCCGGACUCCUACGGGAGGGAGCAGUGGGGAAUUUGGCACAAUGGGCGCGAGCCUAAUGCAGCCAUGCCGCGUGUAUGAAGAAGGCCUUCGGGUUGUAAAGUACUUUCAGCGGGGAGGCGUUACCCGCAGAAGAAGCACCGGCUAACUCCGUGCCAGCCGCCGCGGUAAUUC